CAUGUUUAUUUAUAAGAGGUCAGCGUUUCUUUAAAAACUCAGUGUACCAUGUGGUGGAAUUUGGAUAUGUUAUUGUACCAGCCAUAGCUGUUAGUUGGAAGCGGAUUGCCUACAUUAAAAGAUGCUUUGCUGGCAUACUGUGGUAAACUACAUGUGCCUGUCUGGACACGCCCCCUGCUGACUGCUCCUGUGGCUCCUCCCACAGACCCCUGUAUAAAGGCGAUCAAGGCCUGAGCCCAGCCUCUCAGUCUCCAGGAUGUAGUAUGGUGGUCACUCACUGCUUGUUCCUUCUUCCAGUCGAUAAAAGCCGCUAUCUCGCCUUCACGUCUCAGAUUUAUUUACCCGGAAGCAUUUGAAGAUCUUUUGAAGGCUCUAUGAAAGGUACAGAUUUUUUUUUAAAUGGAGGAUUGAAGGUAUGGUCAAUAUUUUUUCCCUUUGAAUAUUGCUGAUGAAGUAGGCAUCAAUUAGUCAUCUGAAAAGUAUUUCUCUUCCAAAUUUCCAGUUGGAUUUAAUAUUACACAAAACCUGCGAUGAACUGGUCCAAUUUGGCAAGUGUCCAUGAUGCCAACUACUAGAGAUUGUUAGACACAGCACAUCUUUCAGGAAUUAUGUGGCCAGCAGGCAUUAAUACAGACGAGGACCAGUCUUCAAAUAAAAACUGUUCAAAUGUUACUGCUUGCUGGUUAUCAAUUUUGAAAUUAAAAGGACAGCUACAUGAGCAACACACACAAAAUACUGGAGGAACUCAGCAGGUCAGGCAGCAUCUAUGGAGGGAAAUAAACAGUCAAUAUUUCAGGCUGAGACCCUUCAUCAGGACUGCUGCUCAAUUGUUGUAUGUGUUGCUCAAGAUUUCCAGCAGUUGCAAAAUCUAUUGUGUCUCUUAUUGGCUAUGCGAGCAAACAGUCCUGUCUACAGAGCCCAGGUCACCGGCCUAAACUGGCUCAUCAGAGAAAUGGUUUGUAAACUGGCAUGAUCAUAUGAUAUUCUGGUGUGCAUCAGCCAAACAGACAACAGGCAUGCGUUAACUGACCAAAAUUAAACCAGGUACCAGACACCUUCAUUCAAAUUAUUUUGUGUGAGAUUAAGGAUGCUUCCAAAUCAGAUUUAAUUUGUUACUUUGCAUUCCGAUUUCUGAAUGGACAUUGACCCAUGAACACUACCUCAUUAUCUUUUUAUUUCUAUUUUUGCACUACUUAUUUAAUAUAUAUUUAUUGUAAUUCAUGUUUUUUCUCUUAUUAUAUAUUACUGUACUGCUGCCAUGAAGACAAGUUUCACGACAUAUGCUGGUGAUAUUAAACCUGAUUCCGAUAUUAAACAUAAUCAAAGGCAUAUUAGUUCUGUCUGUCAAUAAUUGGGAUUUUUUAUACCCAGAGAGUCAGCUUUCACAAGACUAAUUCUGGGUUCUCUGUCCUCAGAGGUCUGUGUGAAUUUCUUUAUCCCAGCAAAGGUGUUCGAACAUUCUUAAGUGUCUUAUAGGUUGGAGUAUGCUCCCAUUGUAAAUAUGUAAUUCAAUUAAACCUUAUGUUAGACUCAAAAUAUUGAAAUAAAUGCUGUCACUGAAGCUGUUAAAAUUGUAUCACCUGUUAUUUGUUCUUAAUAGGGUAAAAACCUGAUGAACUUUGAGUUUGGAGGAUGCAGAAAGGGUCUCAAAGAGAACGCGUGCUUGUCAUAAUGAAUAAAGACCUUUUGCAUCUAUCAGCUUCCACUCUCCAGUGACAAAGUCACAGGCACAACAAGAGGCUAGUAGAAGAUUGAAACUCUCUAAAGACAGCAGAUGUUAGGUUAAUUAAACAUUUUUAAUGUGAAUUGACAGAUUUUAGGAAUGUAUGAAUACUAAGGCAUAUGGAGACAAGGUAGUUGGAACUGGAAUAUUAGUUGUUCAUGAUCUAAUUGAAUGAGGUAUCAGUUUCAUUAGGCUAAAUAACCUUCCCCUAUUCUAAUGGUGGGCCUUCAAAAUCUGUUUAAGUUUAUGUACUGACAAUAAUUUCAAUGGCAAUUAUAUCUAGCCAUAGAUUAAAGGAAGGAUUCAAAUUUGCUGUCAAAGCAAAACUGGGUGAAAACAAUUUUUGCAUAUAUUACUCUGCAGCUGUGAGAAGUAUAUAUCCACAUACAGUAAACACAUCUAAAUUUGCCAUCAGAAUUUCAUUGGUCUCACUUUAAUUGUGUAAAGACAGUAUUUCACUAUCUACAUUGAAUGUUGUAAAACUGGGGCUUAUACCCUCAAAUAUCAAAUUAAACUUCAUUAAAUCUUUUCAUUCUAAUCUUUUAUUCAUUUUUGCUUCUCUUUCUGUAUUUGAUUUAACAGUGAACGACUGGCCCCUCUGAUUUCCGUUCUUUUCAGUCCCUUCAUUUAUUUCCUUGUCCUUAAAUCCAAGAGUUGGAGGAAAACACCUGUUGGCUGACAUGUUGGCUGGUGUUCAGGUCCCUACUGCCCUGUUUAUCUCAUGCACCCACACUUACAGCAGCUGUGAGGGGAAUUUUUCUUUAAAUUGCAGAGUCAAAUCCAAUAAAUGGAAAUUCAAGUGCUGCAGCAAUUCAGGUCAAUCAAGUAAUGCCUGAAAGAAGCUCUUGGUUUUAUUGCUGGUUUACUAUUUUCAUCCUUGUGUAUUUGUAUCAAUUUCUCUUCAGAAAAUAAUGCUGCUGAUUUGAUACAACUUUUCCCUCAACUUCAGUGGCAUCAAACAUUCCUAGAAAUGAUCUUCCCUUUGCUGUAAAGCAAAUUGCUGGAAGAACUCAGCAAGUCAGGCAGCACCUGUGGAGUCUCGAUGAGCGACUCUCGGAAAGAGGGUGUGCAGAGUUUGAGAGAAUCUUGGUGGAUUGAAAGCUGAGUAAAGCAGACAUUGGUAGGUAUGGAUUAUCUGAGAUCUAUUCACCCCAUUGGCUUGCAGUCUACUAGUGGGGAAUAUGAGGUACCAUUCUUCCAGUUUGUGUUUGGUGUUGCUCUGGUAGAGGAGAAGGCUGAGGAUAGAAUGUCUAUGUGGCAAUGGGAAGACGAGUUGACAUGGUAUGCAAAUUGGAACUCACGAUGGGUUAUUGUGGAACCAUUUGCUUUUCACUCACACACACUUAAUCCAGAGGGCCUCCACUUGUUCCUUUCACCCAUCAUCCCUCCCUUAUGCAGUUUCAUUCCUCUCUGUCCUUAUUUAUCAGAUUCCAGAAUGUACAGCCCUUUGUUGUCUCCACUUAACACUUCCUUCUGCCUCUGCCUCCUCCUCUUAUCACCACUAUCUGGCUCCAUCUGUCCAACAUACCGUUUUUCACUCGGUUCCACCCAUUACCACCCAGCUGCUCCUUCACCCUUAACUUUAUACAGGCUAUCUCCCCUCUACAGUUUCAGGGUCUCAAUUUGGAAAAAAAAUCUAUCUGUACUCACAGAUGCUGCCUGACCCAUCGAGUCCCUCCUGCAGUUUGUGUGUGGCAUCUUGAUGACAUUUUUGUAGUGUCUGUAGUCCUUUGUCUCCCUAUCUUUGUCAACAAUGGUUUCAUAUGGACCAUAAUGUACCACAAACUGGGACUGUUAUAAUGGAACUACAAUCAGAUAUGAACUUGUGUAUAUGUGCCUAUUUCUCCAAACAUAGAACAAGCAAACUUGGCAAUGGUACACCUUUGUAUUUCAUAGUCCUGAUUGUUGAAUGUGUUCUUAGAACAAGAAUAACAUUGGAUUCACAUACUUAUGGCAACACACCUUCAAUUGAUGCAAAAUAUCACAAAAACAAACUACAUUGUUACUCUUCAGUGCCAAUUUUUGUCCUUUGAAUUGUGCAGGAAAUACUAAAGGUGCGAACUACAAAUCACUGUCAUUGUUGUAGUUAAUUUCUUGAUUCCCCUCAUGUUCAAAACUCCUCACAGCCUUUUCCUGACUUCACACAGCUUUCUGAUGUAGCAACAAUUGUUGCUGAGUUGAAUAAUAGGGAAGGCAACAGCAGGGAGAAUCAGUGACAUGUAAACAUCAUCUGGCAUUGUUCAUUGCAACUCCUUUUAAAAAAUAACACUUCAUAGGGCAUAUGUACAAAAUUAAGGGAGGGAAGUUUAGGGGAGAUAUCAGGGGUAAGUUUUUUUUUACACAGAUGGUUGUGAGUGCCUGGAAUGACUUGCUAGGAAUGGUGGUGGAGGCUAAAACAUUAGGGGUAUUUAAGAGCCUCUUGGACAGGCACAUGGAUGAAAGAAAAAAUGGAGGGUUACGGGGUAGUGUGGGUUUAGUACUUUUUUAAAGGAUUAUAUGGGUGGGCACAACAUAGAGGGCUGUAGGGCCUGUACUGUGCUGUUAUGUUCUAUGGUUCUAUAUUUUAAUAAAAUACCUGUUUUCCCUCCUCCCUCUCCCAACAAUAGCAGCCCGAUAUGGAUUUGGGGAAGUGGGCAUUGCUUGUAGUCCUACAUCCAGCUAGUAUGCAGAGUUUCUUCACAUCUCCACUCCACCCCCUCCAUGAACUUGAUAAUUAGAUUAUCACAAUAUUAUUAAGGAACAACCCCCCCCCCCACCUCCAGUUGUAAUAGUGUAAAAACUUACUGUAUGGCAUUUACAUAUGCUCAAAAACCUGAUUUAAAGGUUACCAAUAUUUGCCAACUGAUCCUUCUUGUGAAUGGAAUCUUUUAGCUCAGAACAUCCUUUGUAUAUAAUAACCAAUCUCCUAGGGCACAGCUAGUUAAGAAUAAAUACAUUACUGAUCAAGGUACGGGUGGUGCUUAAUGGAUCGGAGCGGGCACAGUUGGUGAAAGAGAAGACAAUGAGAGAGUGAGAAGAAUGGAAAUGGAAGAAAUGAGGCAGAGGGAGAGGAGGGGAAACAGUAGGGAGGGGUGGAGAGGAAGAAAAAGUGCUUUAAAGGAGGAAAGGAGAACUGAUGAAUGGGAAAUUCACAUUAGAAGGCAAUUCACCACUACUUACUGAAGUAUAUUUAGAAGACAGCCAUGUAAUCAGAUUUUGCCAGUGAUGCUUAAAUCCAUAUGAACGUUUUCAAAGAAGGACCCCAAAUGUUGUUUGGGGUGAAUAUAAUACCAUGCGAUUACAAUUAUGUCUGUAUAAGGAGCAGAGAAACUUCUUACUGUGACAAGAACUAGGAACGUAGAAUGAAGGUGGUCUGCCAGGGAUAGCAGUGAAGGCAAAUUCAGUUAUGACCAUCAGUAACUGAAAAGUAGGGAAGCUCUGCUCUUCGGCCAAGUAAAUACUUGAUCACAGGGCCAAGUUUAGUGUUAUAAAAAUCCCAAACUAAACAAAUCAAAUAUUUUGUUUCUACUCAUGAUGUCUUCUUGUUCAAAACUGCAACUUAUGUAUACCCAAUGCAAACCCAAUGUAUACUAGACAGGUGAAGUUCCUCACUCCCCAUGAGCUCUCCAUCUAAAACACAAUGUUUUUAACUGACUGAGAAAUUGCUCCAAGACCGGUUUUCUACCCAGUACUACAAGGUAGCAUUCAUGAUUAAUAUUUCAUAUGUUAGCACCUACACAUUGAUAAAUAGCCACAUACAGCCCAUCUAGUUGUUUGCAGAAGCCAAGAACUAGAAAAAAAUGUCAGCAUGAAUGUCUUAACUAAUUACACUAAUUAGGGACUACCGCUGGAGGAUAUUUUACAUUUAUUUUUACUUCUCCACAUAAAUAAUCUCUGUCAGGUCCAAGAUUGCCCUUAUUACCACAGGGAUAGUCUUGUACAUGGAGUACGAGACCAAUUCAUGAUCACCAGGGGAAGUAAUGCAUCUCAAUCAGCAGGUUGCCUGUUGUUUCAUAAUUGUCACAGUUUAUUUUGAGAAUAUAAUCCAAAAAAUGUUAUCUGAUUGUGAAGAACUUAGGGAUUCUGAUAUCAUAAAAGGUUUAAUCUGUUCUGUUCUCCUAGCCAUGUUGUCCUUUUACCCCUGCCCUCACAGUUUUCCCUUUGCAAUUGCACCCAAAUCAUCUCUAGCAAAUUCUCUUUAUUCAUGUUACCUCACCACACUCCAAGAUCUAUACUUAACCCUUUCUUUUCUUUGUCUGUACUAUAGAAACAAUAGUAGACCAUUCAGUCCUUUGAGCAUGUCAUAUCCCUGUUUUUUUUAAUAUCCCUAAGUGUUACAGUCAUAAAGGGAAUAUUCCCAUGAAUGAUAGAAGUUUUCUUUCAAACUGCUUCAGCUACUUGUACUGGGAAUGAAAAGAGUCAUUCACUUUCUUCUAAAUUUGUGGAGUCAAAAAGGAAAGAAUAAAACUGGUCACACCCACCAGGACUGAUAAGGCACUAAAAUCAGACAUGUAGUCAUUCCCUGUCCUGUCAACCUUGCAAAGUUCUCAUUACAUUUGGAGACCGAUAUGCAAAAUGUUGAAGAUGUCCUAUAUGUGAGUCAAGCAAUGUCCUGGUAAAGGCAGAUUUACAGAAUUAUAUGCUACAGUGUGCCAGACUCCUCUAACCCGUCCUGGUAUAUUCUGUCUCACCAACAAGACAGACUCAGAGGUGGAGACAGAAUGGUUUAAAUGUAGGAGGUAAAAGGACAGGCAAUCCCCACCAAUGAUUCCAGAUUUCCGAAAGUCUCCUGGCAUCAGGUCAAAGCCCUUAUUAGCUAGCAUUCACCCUCAGAUGGAUUAUUUCUUCCAUGUUGAAAUCCUCUUAGAAAACACACUGAAAGCAGCAGAGUACAGAACAUACUCAGGGUGGGGAUCUUCAAAGCUUUCUUGACUAUCUGAAGUAAUGCCCAGAUAUGUCCAGCUAACAACAAACAGGAUACCUCAUCCCUACACAAAAAAGCAAAAGAAAUUAUUUUUAAUUACCUCCCUCCUACUAUUACCCUCUCUUUGGUUCUAUUUUUCCAGCCCCAGGGCAUCCAUUUUCUGAAUGAUAUAUCAAGGUAGCCUUAUCAUGGACAGAUCAGACAGCUUGUUCUUCUUUCCAACACAAGUCUCGCAUCUCCCCAGAAGCACCAUAUGACCUCUUCACCAAUGACUACAUUCCUGCCCAUGCUACAAGCUCAGUCACCAAAGUUACAGGCAACACAACUGUGAUUGGCCUAAUCACAAACAAUAAUGAAUUUGCAUAUAGAGAGGAGGUGCUGAAGCUGUCCGAUUGGUGCAGGAACCACAACCUAUCACUCAACAUCAAGACAACAAAAGAAAUGAUGAUUGACUUCACAAAGGCAAGAGGUCCCAAACAAGCCCCACUAUUUAUUUAUUAUGUGGUCUCCAGUUUCAAGAUUUUGAGGUGAACAUCACCAAGCUCUCUUGGUCUGUCAACACAACCUUAACAGAAGGGAAGAUACAACAGUGACUAGACGACCUGAGGUGCUUAAAGAGAGCUAAUCUGCCCCAAAUAUCGCUGGCCAACUUUUAUUGAUGUGUGAUAGAGAGCCUACUGACAUACAGAAUGACAGUGUGGAACUCUAGCUGCAGUAAGACAAAUCACAAAGCACUCCAACGGGUGAUUAGUAUGGCUCAGCACAUCAUUGAGACUCAACUACCAUAAGUGGAGACAAACUAUAAUUCUUGAUGCCUCAUAAAAUCAUUGAACACCCAUCCCAUCCUGGACACUGUUCAAUCUCCUGCUGUCUAGUAGGAGAUACAAAAGCAUUUUAGCCAAGACAGUAAGAUUGAAAAGCAGCUUCUUCCCAAGAGCUGUUGUGCAGUUGAUCAAUGCUACAUCCUGGCUUACCAAUGACCUUUGAGUGUUGUGGACAAAAAAAAAUCACUUAAUACUUGCAAAUGUGGGGUUUCUUUUUAGUUCAGCUGUACCACAUGCACUGUAAAUACCUGUUUUGCACGGACUGGAGUAGCACUGCAAUCUCAUUGUCUUGAGCAAUGACAAUAAAUUUCUAUUCUGUUCUAAACCCAACUUAAUAGGUAUGCACUUUUAUAAAUAUCUUCAUAUUCUUGAUAUGUAAUUCACACUCAACUUUCCAUUAAACUGAUCAAAUUUCUCAUCAUAUUAUUAUAUUAUUAUAUAU